rnacentral:lncRNA from 1 species
CAGAAAGUUAUAACUGCGUUACAAAGGGCAGCCUUGUUCAGAAUGGCUUAUUUCAUCAGAAAGAUGUAUUUAAAAAAAUGACAGGCCAAAUACUAGCGUAAAGUCCCCCAUGUUAGUGUAAACGCUGCAUGAAAACACUUUUAUUGCCUCCUAUAACUCCUUAAUAAAUACUGUUCCUUUUUGAUGAAAGCUCUUAACGCGGGAUUAGGGUUUACAGUGCAUUGCCUUAUUAGUCUCUGGAGACAGAUCCCCUGUUCAGUAUGGCUUCGUCCUGCUUUGCAGCCCGCUUCAGAGUGUCGAUGUUCCCUGCCCUUCCUUUUGGGUUUCCCCCCACGGCAGCAUCUGAAUCGCAGGCAGCGCUUUCCUGGACUGGCACCUGAGAGGAAAACAAGCUGGAAUCCCUGUGGAUAGGGAGGCUGGCUCUCGUGUCGAGUCCGUCCUGCAAGCGUGUCCUCUGCCCGGCACAGUGCUGAUGAGGUGUGAAGACCUCGGCCCCAGGGUUGUGCUGCACCCUUGCCCUAAGAAGGGUCCAUGGAGAAGGUUCUGGGUGCGUGGGUCUGGGCCUGUGAGAGGAGAGCCACGAUGCUGCAGUACAGACCAUGCCGAAACACCUAAGAGCACCCUUGCAAGGAUGGGAGCUGCAAGACCCAACGCAGAGAGAGGAAAGCCAGAGGGAAGCAGCUUACCCUGCACUCCCCAGAAAGCUAGGCAGCUUUCAGGAGCUGUGGUAAGCUCCUUCAACCAGCUCUUGCCAUGGAAAACAGCUUCAGCGCCAGCCACCCACUGUGCAUUUGCUGUGAUUCACUUUCCCUGCGCUGUGAGGGGGGUUUCCUCCCAGCGCUGACCUCACUCAGCAGACUCCCACGCAGGGCCGAGAGGACUUAAUUAGAUGCUCUCUGCUGGGCUUUGGAAAUGCUCUUCUUGGCUGGGUGACUUUCAAGCCGGAUAUGGGGGGCUGAAUGGCUAAGUGCUUUCAGGUCAAACAGUAGCUUGAUUUUCUUCCCUGUAAAGGACCAAGUGUUUCCCCAGUUCCAGGGAAGCAGCUGUGGAGUUUUUUAGGGUUUUUUUUGUUUUAUUUUGUUUUUUACCCCUCUGCUCUUCCUCCUGACCUCUUUCUGGAUCUUGGGCUUUUCAUGAGGAUGGUUUGACCCAGCCUGGAGAAUAUGGCAUUCACAACAUGCAGAUUCCUUGCAGUGGGACCUGGAGAGGCAAAAGCCUUCGGAGCCAUGCAGUGUCGGGAGCAGAACAACAGAAGUUAAGCUGUCAGCGACUGGCUGGCGAUUGGAUUGCCCUGGGGCUUUAAACUGUUUGGGAGAGUCUUGUCUUGGGUCGUGCAUUGCGUGGCCUCGCGUCCUUCGAGUCUGCGUAAGCCGAGCGCAGUGCGGAUGGCUCCUUGUGCCGUGGGAGGCUGAACGCGCGCUCCCCGAGGUGCACCCGCACUUGAAAAAUAGCCGAGGUGGGGUUAGAGGAGUGGGUGAAGGAAUGCAUUAGGCCUAACCGCAGCGAGGGGAAUGUCAAGAUGGGGAAAAAUGUCACCCUCAGAAACAAUUAAACUUCUUAAUAAAAUCCGUUGCCUUUCUGAGUGCUCA